rnacentral:misc_RNA from 1 species
AGUCCAUUCCUCAUGGUGGGCACUCCUACUAACUCUCUGUUACCAAGCUCUAACAGAUUACUGGCUUCAAAACAAAGGACAUAAAAAUUUGAACUGUAAGGAAAAGAAUCAGAGGAAGAUGGAGAAUAUUCUGGAUAUGUUUGUGAAGGUGUGGAGAAGCUUAACCUGACUGGCAGUUCAAGCAGUGGGAGUGACCACUCACCAGGACAACAUCAAACUGCCCUAAAAGAGAUGGACAGCAGUAAUGUAGUAGACAUGAGAGCUUCAGUGAGAGAAGCAGUGGAGGAGGGUUUGUCAUACCCUGUGCAAGAGUCACCUCUAGACACUGUAGAUGAGGAUAUCAGUCAGGAAGCCCAAAACCUGGGAAGUUUGGAGGAAUCUGAACCAGCAGAAGAGCCAGUUAUAGAGGUUCCAAGUAAUGAUACAAGAUCCUUUGAAGUUGAACCCCUCAUACAAGCUCCAGCUCCAACUGUCUCAGAUGAUGAGACAUUGUAUAACAGAACAGCAGAUGAAACACUAUCCAGUUCUGAGACUUCAGAUUUAGAGUUAAGGAACUAUCAGAAAGAGCUGGCCCAGCCAGGCCUUGAGGGGAAGAAUAUUAUUGUAUGUGCUCCUACUGGGAGUGGGAAAACUCGUGUGGCACUCGAGAUUACCAAGGAACAUCUAGAUAAAGCAGACAGAGGACGGAGAAAAGUUGUAUUUCUUGUCAACCAAGUGGAACUUAUGGAACAGCAGUUAGCAGUGUUCAAGAAAAACCUCACUGGCUACCGCACCAUUGGUUUGAGUGGAAAUGUAGAUACAAAAGUACCCUUGAGUGAGCUUCUGCCAAAGAAUGACGUUAUUGUUUUAACAGCACAGAUUCUGCUUGAUCAGUUGAGAGAUAAUUUAUUAAAGAUUCAUGAUUUUUCUCUCAUGAUAUACGAUGAAUGUCACCAUACCAAGAAAGGUCAUCCAUACAACAAUAUUAUGGCCUUCUACAUUGACCAGAAACUAGACUCACCAGUCGCUGACUGGCACCCUUCAGCAAUCCAGGAAAGGUUGCCCCAGGUUGUUGGGCUUACAGCCUCUUUGGGUGUUGGGAAGGCUAAUAAUAAUGAAACAGCAAUAGAACACAUUCUGAAAUUGUGUGCUAACUUAGAUACAGAGGAGUUGUCUACAGUUGUACAACAUGAGAAUGAAAUGCUGCAGUACGUGAAUGUACCCAAGUCAGAUAUUGUUCCUGUUGGUGAAAGAGCCAUGGAUCCUUUCAAAGAUAUCAUAACUGGAAUAAUGGAAGAAAUUGAAAAUAAAAUUAAGGAUCUGCAUGGUCAGCAUCAACUGAAAGAGAGAAGUGCAACAGAUUUAGAUCCCCCUGCUGAUAAAGGAAAAGGCCCCUAUACUCAGUGGGUCCAUUCACUGAAGAAAAAAAUUGCAGUUAUUGAUGAGCAGAAAAUACGGUGGAGUUGUUUUGCAUGCUGGACAAAUCUUUUGACAUAUCAUGAGGCCCUAUUGAUAAAUGAAGACAGCAGAACAAUAGAUGCACUUGAUUACAUCAGAAGCGAAAAUUCAAAGAGAUCCACCCAUAGAAAUUUAGAUAUUGAUAACUGGCUUCAGCAGUUAUUUCAAGAAAAGGAGCCAACCAUCAGUGAAUUUGCUGCAAAUGAUACUUUCAAAAAUCCCAAACUUGUGAAACUUGAGGAUAUGCUCCGUAAAGCAUAUGAAGAAAAACCAGACUCCAGGGGUAUAGUGUUCUGUAAGACACGAGCACUUACUGAAACCUUAAAAAACUGGAUGUUAGAAACAGAAAGUCUGAAAGCAUUGAACCCUAAAUGCUUAGUAGGAACAAAUGCAGCAGUUGAUAAAAAAGGAAUGACUUCAAGCCAGCAAGUGGACGUCUUAAGCUACUUUAAAGGUGGAAAAGUAAAACUUCUCAUAGCAACAAGUGUGGCUGAAGAAGGUUUAGACAUCAAGCAGUGUAACUUGGUUAUCAGAUACGACUAUGUCACCAAUGAAAUAGCCAUGGUGCAGGCAAGGGGUGUCUGCUGCCCAAGGGGAAGACCCAGGAUGUUGUGGUUUCCGAGGUUACAUGUACACAGGUUUGGCCAACAUCUGUGAGAGAGAGCUGGUUACGUGGAAGGACCUGAUGGUUCCAUUAAUCAAAUAUGCCUAGUGAUGGCAAGAAUAAGAGCUGGGAGAGGCUGAAAGACAGAAGUACCACACAACAUAUUUCUCUCCAGAGGAUGACUGGAGAAUUUGAGUAAAAAUUAUAAAAAAGUUAUAGUUCAUUUUGUAAAUAUUUUCAUCAGUUGUGGUAAAAUUAGUUACUGUGUUGUAUUUUCUAUGAGGCUACCCACAUUCUCUGCAAAAGGUUACUAAUUAUACACAAACACCAAAAUAUUACAGAUUAAUAACUACGUAAUAGUUGUAACUGUAUGUAAAGAAACUUAGAUGGGAGCUGAAUAUGUUGAAAGUGUGCUUGCUUUAUGAUCUCAUUUGUGUGGUCCAAAUCUUUUAUUUAUUUUUCCAGAUAUUACUCAACCCAUCCUCAGUUUGACUCGUUACAUCACCAAGAGCCAGGUAUAUAUGUAAAUAGCAGAACAGACAGGUGAAUACUGGCCUGUGGGAGGACAUCUGAAAUGACUUGUAAUUAUGAGAAUUGAACCAUUUUUGAGUCAUUGGGCAUAGGAUGGCAGCUGUUGUGAAUCUUCCC